rnacentral:tRNA from 1 species
GCCGGUGUGUCUUAAGAGCAUAGGAAUGCUCUCAUAAGGCGGGGGUCGACGGUUCGAUUCCGUCCGCUGGCA